GAUGAACGCUGGCGGCGUGCCUAAUACAUGCAAGUCGAGCGAACAGACGAGGAGCUUGCUCCUCUGACGUUAGCGGCGGACGGGUGAGUAACACGUGGAUAACCUACCUAUAAGACUGGGAUAACUUCGGGAAACCGGAGCUAAUACCGGAUAAUAUAUUGAACCGCAUGGUUCAAUAGUGAAAGACGGUUUUGCUGUCACUUAUAGAUGGAUCCGCGCCGCAUUAGCUAGUUGGUAAGGUAACGGCUUACCAAGGCGACGAUGCGUAGCCGACCUGAGAGGGUGAUCGGCCACACUGGAAAGUAGACACGGUCCAGACUCCUACGGGAGGCAGCAGUCGGGAAUCUUCCGCAAUGGGCGAAAGCCUGACGGAGCAACGCCGCGUGAGUGAUGAAGGUCUUCGGAUCGUAAAACUCGGUUAUUAGGGAAGAACAAAUGUGUAAGUAACUAUGCACGUCUUGACGGUACCUGAUCAGAAAGCCACGGCUAACUACGUG
rnacentral:rRNA from 1 species